UGGUAAAAUCAGGCAUGUUACGAACAAGAUCAAUUGAAUCAAUUAGCAUGGAAGGGUUUUGAGCAAACGAAACACAAACAAGGGAAUUAUCAAAGGCCUUUGCAAAAAUUGUGAAGGGGUCAAUACCCUCACGAACCAUCGAGGGAAGUAGUUGCAAGCCCAUAAAAACCAAGCUACAGUCCUUACAGAAAGGAUACAGCAUUUCACAAACAAAGGAAAGCAUGUUGAAAAAUGGUGCUUUCAAUUUGUGUUGCCAAUCAAUCCAAUAAGUAAUGGCGAGAUUGAGGAUCUGCGCAUCUGCGACCUGGGCUCGAUACUCUCGUGAAUCCAAUAUACAGUUGUGAAUAACAGCAAAUGCGAGCGCUGAGUAUUCAUUAUCCUUACUGCAGUACGGUUUUAGCACAUCGAUCCCGCCCAGGUUAAAAAACGCCGCUCGAUUCUCAUUGUUGUCGCUGCAGGAAUUUGCCAAAAAACGAAAACAUUGCUCGUGAACCACCGUAGGUGAAGAGGGCGUCUCCCUAAGGAGUUCAAGAGCCUCAGAUAUGUAAUUUCGAAAAAGGGAACGCUCUUGAGGGUUUUUUGAUCGAUCUGCCAAAGAUUGGAACAAGUAGACUGUAUCAGAAGCGGUCAUAUUGCUCAAACGAACUGAAAUUGGUAAAAACCAAGGACAAGAUCGUCAAACAAACACCGCAGUCUUCUGCUAGCACUAUUUUUAAGAAAACCUCAAACUAUUAAAAGAAACCAAAAUAUUGUGUACUUGGUAUUUGUUAAGAGUGCGUGUGUCUGCUUCUUUGCUCACCUAGUUUUGGAGGAAGUCAAAAUAUAAUUCACCGUCCUAUUCCUGAGAAAUAAAGAUGAUUUGCCCUGUUCAUGAUACGUAAUUUUUUCUUAAUACACAAUUAUGAUGUGCUUUGUUACAUUAAUUUGCUAUAACGAAGUAAAAUGUAGUACUUUAUUUGUUCUCAGGUGUCAGCAAUACUACACUACGCUAUAAUACACUACGUUGAGUAUCACUAUAUGUCAC